CCUACGGGUGGCAGCAGUGAGGAAUAUUGGUCAAUGGACGAGAGUCUGAACCAGCCAAGUAGCGUGAAGGAUGACUGCCCUAUGGGUUGUAAACUUCUUUUAUAUGGGUAUAAAAUGUUCCACGUGUGGGAUUUUGUAUGUACCAUAUGAAUAAGGAUCGGCUAACUCCGUGCCAGCAGCCGCGGUAAUACGGAGGAUCCGAGCGUUAUCCGGAUUUAUUGGGUUUAAAGGGAGCGUAGGUGGAUUGUUAAGUCAGUUGUGAAAGUUUGCGGCUCAACCGGAAAAUUGCAGUUGAAACUGGCAGUCUUGAGUACAGUAGAGGUGGGCGGAAUUCGUGGUGUAGCGGUGAAAUGCUUAGAUAUCACGAAGAACUCCGAUUGCGAAGGCAGUUCACUGGACUGCAACUGACACUGAGGCUCGAAAGUGUGGGUAUCAAACAGGAUUAGAUACCCGGGUAGUC
rnacentral:rRNA from 1 species